rnacentral:rRNA from 1 species
AUACAUAUGGGGCAAGCGUUAUCCGGAAUUAUUGGGCGUAAAGCGUGCGUAGGCGGUUUCUUAAGUCAGGAGUGAAAGGCUACGGCUCAACCGUAGUAAGCUCUUGAAACUGGGAAACUUGAGUGCAGGAGAGGAAAGUGGAAUUCCUAGUGUAGCGGUGAAAUGCGUAGAUAUUAGGAGGAACACCAGUAGCGAAGGCGGCUUUCUGGACUGUAACUGACACUGAGGCACGAAAGCGUGGGGAGC